UGGGGAAUAUUGCACAAUGGGCGCAAGCCUGAUGCAGCCAUGCCGCGUGUAUGAAGAAGACCUUCGGGUUGUAAAGUACUUUCAGCGAGGAGGAAGGCGUUGUGGUUAAUAACCGCAACGAUUGACGUUACUCGCAGAAGAAGCACCGGCUAACUCCGUGCCAGCAGCCGCGGUAAUACGGAGGGUGCAAGCGUUAAUCGGAAUUACUGGGCGUAAAGCGCACGCAGGCGGUCUGUCAAGUCGGAUGUGAAAUCCCCGGGCUCAACCUGGGAACUGCAUCCGAAACUGGCAGGCUAGAGUCUUGUAGAGGGGGGUAGAAUUCCAGGUGUAGCGGUGAAAUGCGUAGAGAUCUGGAGGAAUACCGGUGGCGAAGGCGGCCCCCUGGACAAAGACUGACGCUCAGGUGCGAAAGCGUGGGGAGCAAACA
rnacentral:rRNA from 1 species